rnacentral:rRNA from 1 species
GACGAACGCUGGCGGCGUGCUUAACACAUGCAAGUCGAGCGGUAAGGCCUUUCGGGGUCCACGAGCGGCGAACGGGUGGGUAACACGUGGGUGAUCUGCCCUGCACUUCGGGAUAAGCCUGGGACACUGGGUCUAAUACCGGAGCUGACCUCCUAUCGCAUGGUGGGUGGUGGAAAGAUUUAUCGGUGCAGUAUGGGCCCGCGGCCUAUCAGCUUGUUUGUUGGGUAAUGGCCUACCAAGGACACGACGGGUAGCCGACCUGAGAGGGUUACCGGCCACCCUGGGACUGAGACACGGCACAGAAUCCAAAGGGAGGCAGAAGAGGAAAAUCUUGAACAAUGGCCGAAAGCCUGAUGCAGCGACGCCGCGUGCGGGAUGACGGCCUUCGGGUUGUAAACCUCUUUCAGCAGGGACGAACCGCAAGUGACGUUACCUGCAGAAAAAGCCCCGGCUAACUACGUG